rnacentral:rRNA from 1 species
GUGCAGCAGGCGCGAAAACUUUACAAUGCGGGAAACCGUGAUAAGGGGACACCGAGUGCCAGCAUCAUAUGCUGGCUGUCCAGGUGUGUAAAAUACACCUGUUAGCAAGGGCCGGGCAAGACCGGUGCCAGCCGCCGCGGUAACACCGGCGGCCCGAGUGGUGAUCGUGAUUAUUGGGUCUAAAGGGUCCGUAGCCGGUUUGGUCAGUCCUCCGGGAAAUCUGACGGCUCAACCGUUAGGCUUUCGGGGGAUACUGCCAGGCUUGGAACCGGGAGAGGUAAGAGGUACUACAGGGGUAGGAGUGAAAUCUUGUAAUCCCUGUGAGACCACCUGUGGCGAAGGCGUCCUACCAGAACGGGUUCGACGGUGAGGGACGAAAGCUGGGGGCACGAACCGGAUUAGAUACCCGGGUAGUCCCAGCCGUAAACGAUGCUCGCUAGGUGUCAGGCAUGGCGCGACCGUGUCUGGUGCCGCAGGGAAGCCGUGAAGCGAGCCACCUGGGAAGUACGGCCGCAAGGCUGAAACUUAAAGGAAUUGGCGGGGGAGCAC